rnacentral:rRNA from 1 species
GACGAACGCUGGCGGCGUGCUUAACACAUGCAAGUCGAACGGUAAGGCCCUUCGGGGUACACGAGUGGCGAACGGGUGAGUAACACGUGGGUGAUUUGCCCUGCACUUCGGGAUAAGCCUGGGAAACUGGGUCUAAUACCGGCUAGGAACACUGCCUGCAUGGGCGGUGGUGGAAAGCUUUUGCGGGAUGGGAUGGGCCCGCCGCCUAUCAGCUUGUCGGUGGGGUGAUGGCCUACCAAGGCGACGACGGGUAGCCGGCCUGGGAGGGUGACCGGCCACACUGGGACUGAGAUACGGCCCAGACUCCUACGGGAGGCAGCAGUGGGGAAUAUUGCACAAUGGGCGCAAGCCUGAUGCAGCGACGCCGCGUGAGGGAUGACGGCCUUCGGGUUGUAAACCUCUUUCAGCACCGACGAAGCGCAAGUGACGGUAGGUGCAGAAGAAGGACCGGCCAACUACGUGCCAGCCGCCGCCGUAA